AUUCAGCUGAAAAGUCUCAAAUAGGACGAAACGCACGCCCUGGAU
rnacentral:hammerhead_ribozyme from 1 species